UGAAGCGUGCAUUGGUGUGUGUGCUGAUGGCUGCCUGGAGCCUUGGAUGUGGCAGCCAGACGGUGCACCAGCCAGCAGAGAAUGUGUACGCCAUGAAAGGCGACUCAGUUACGCUGGACUGCAGCUAUGAAAAUUCUGGAAGCUUCGACUACAUCUUCUGGUACAAACAGGACGGGCAGAGGGCACCAAAGUUCAUCCUGAGCCUCUCAAUAUUGGAUGAGGGCAAGACUGAGAGCAGCUUUGAAAAGAGGUUGAGCUGCAGCAUCAAUGACACCGCCAAGCGAGCUCCUCUGAAGAUCCAAGACGUGCAGCUGAACGACUCUGCUGUCUUCUACUGCGCCAUCCAGCCCACAAUGACUGACAUCUCUGCUGCACCUGCACAAAAACCUCUGUAGGCUCCUCAUCCCACUGUGGCUGUUUAAGAGUUGGUUCUGAGGUUUUCACAGCUUUUGUCCUAGUCAGGACAUCACGAGGGUGGGGAACUGGAGAUG